rnacentral:rRNA from 1 species
AUUGGGACAUAUAAAAAAAGACAGCUCUGUUCCGCAGAGUAGCUGCUGACAUUAUAGUUGCGCAGAAACUUUGUUGACUCUAGAGAACCUCGGGCAAAUCGCACAUCCCUGUGGCGGCGACUUUGCAUGUGGAUGUCAUCCAUAUCAACUUUCGAUGCCAGUUUCUGCGCCUACCAUGGUGACCACGGGUAACGGGGAAUCAGGGUUCCAUUCCGUACAGGGACCCUGAGAAACGGCUACCACAUGCAAGGAAGGCAGCAGGCG